AUUGAACGCUGGCGGCAGGCUUAACACAUGCAAGUCGAACGAGUGGCGGACGGGUGAGUAAUGCUUGGGAAUCUAGCUUAUGGAGGGGGCUAACUACGGGAAACUGUAGCUAAUACCGCGUACCAUAGGAUGAGCCCAAGAGGGAUGAGGUAGUUGGUGAGGUAAAGGCUCACCAAGCCGACGCUCUCUAGCUGGUCUGAGAGGAUGACCCGCCCCACUUGGACUGAUACACGGCCCAGACUCCUCCGGGAGGCAGCAGUGGGGAAUAUUGCGCAAUGGGGGCAACCUGACGCAGCCAUGCCGCGUGAAUGAAGAAGGCCUUCGGGUUGUAAAGUUCUUUCGGUAGCGAGGCGUUAACUACAGAAUAAGCACCGGCUAACUCCGUGCCAGCAGCCGCGGUAAUUC
rnacentral:rRNA from 1 species